AGUGAAACGCCGUAGCGCCGAUGGUAGUGUGGGGUCUCCCCAUGCGAGAGUAGGGAACUGCCAGGC
rnacentral:rRNA from 1 species